ACGCUGGCGGCAGGCCUAACACAUGCAAGUCGAGCGGUAGAGAGAAGCUUGCUUCUCUUGAGAGCGGCGGACGGGUGAGUAAUGCCUAGGAAUCUGCCUGGUAGUGGGGGAUAACGUUCGGAAACGGACGCUAAUACCGCAUACGUCCUACGGGAGAAAGCAGGGGACCUUCGGGCCUUGCGCUAUCAGAUGAGCCUAGGUCGGAUUAGCUAGUUGGUGAGGUAAUGGCUCACCAAGGCGACGAUCCGUAACUGGUCUGAGAGGAUGAUCAGUCACACUGGAACUGAGACACGGUCCAGACUCCUACGGGAGGCAGCAGUGGGGAAUAUUGGACAAUGGGCGAAAGCCUGAUCCAGCCAUGCCGCGUGUGUGAAGAAGGUCUUCGGAUUGUAAAGCACUUUAAGUUGGGAGGAAGGGCAUUAACCUAAUACGUUAGUGUUUUGACGUUACUGACAGAAUAAGCACCGGCUAACUCUGUGCCAGCAGCCGCGGUAAUACAGAGGGUGCAAGCGUUAAUCGGAAUUACUGGGCGUAAAGCGCGCGUAGGUGGUUUGUUAAGUUGGAUGUGAAAUCCCCGGGCUCAACCUGGGAACUCCAUUCAAAACUGACUGACUAGAGUAUGGUAGAGGGUGGUGGAAUUUCCUGUGUAGCGGUGAAAUGCGUAGAUAUAGGAAGGAACACCAGUGGCGAAGGCGACCACCUGGACUAAUACUGCACACUG
rnacentral:rRNA from 1 species